rnacentral:rRNA from 1 species
UAGGGAAUCUUCGGCAAUGGACGGAAGUCUGACCGAGCAACGCCGCGCGAGUGAAGAAGGUUUUCGGAUCGUAAAGCUCUGUUGUAAGAGAAGAACGAGUGUGAGAGUGGAAAGUUCACACUGUGACGGUAUCUUACCAGAAAGGGACGGCUAACUACGUGCCAGCAGCCGCGGUAAUACGUAGGUCCCGAGCGUUGUCCGGAUUUAUUGGGCGUAAAGCGAGCGCAGGCGGUUAGAUAAGUCUGAAGUUAAAGGCUGUGGCUUAACCAUAGUACGCUUUGGAAACUGUUUAACUUGAGUGCAAGAGGGGAGAGUGGAAUUCCAUGUGUAGCGGUGAAAUGCGUAGAUAUAUGGAGGAACACCGGUGGCGAAAGCGGCUCUCUGGCUUGUAACUGACGCUGAGGCUCGAAAGCGUGGGGAGCAAACAGGAUUAGAUACCCUGGUAGUCCACGCCGUAAACGAUGAGUGCUAGGUGUUAGACCCUUUCCGGGGUUUAGUGCCGCAGCUAACGCAUUAAGCACUCCGCCUGGGGAGUACGACCGCAAGGUU